UACGUAGGGGGCAAGCGUUGUCCGGAUUUACUGGGCGUAAAGAGCGUGUAGGCGGCCAAACAGGUCCGUUGUGAAAACUGGAGGCUCAACCUCCAGACGUCGACGGAAACCGUAUGGCUAGAGUCCGGAAGAGGCGAGUGGAAUUCCUGGUGUAGCGGUGGAAUGCGCAGAUAUCAGGAGGAACACCAAUAGCGAAGGCAGCUCGCUGGGACGUUACUGACACUGAGGCGCGAAAGCGUGGGGAGCGAACAGG
rnacentral:rRNA from 1 species